GACGACGCUGCGGCACGCAACUACACUGCAAGUCGAACGGAGUGAAGAUGCUCGCAUCUGAACUUAGUGGCGGACGGGUGAGUAACACGUGAGCAACCUGCCUUUCAGAGGGGGAGUAACGUUUGGGAAACGAACGCUAAUACCGCAUAAAACGUAUCGGAGUCGCAUGGCACUGAUAUCAAAGGAGCAAUCCGCUGAAAGAUGGGCUCGCGUCCGAUUAGGCAGUUGGCGGGGUAACGGCCCACCAAACCGACAAUCGGUAGCCGGACUGAGAGGUUGAACGGCCACAUUGGGACUGAGACACGGCCCAGACUCCUACGGGAGGCAGCAGUGGGGGAUAUUGCACAAUGGGGGAAACCCUGAUGCAGCGAUGCCGCGUGAAUGAAGACGGCCUUCGGGUUGUAAAGUUCUGUCGCAGGGGACGAAAAUGAUGGUACCCUGCAAGAAAGCUCCGGCUAACUACGUG
rnacentral:rRNA from 1 species